rnacentral:lncRNA from 1 species
CAGAACAGAUGAUGCGUUUGGGCAUAACACACUCCAGUUUGUUCUUCUGGCAGUUUCUCUUCUCAAUUUCAAGGCUUUCACAGUUUUGCUGCAACUUAUCCUUUUAAGGGGCUCUUCUUCUCCCAUUUCUCCAUUGACUGUUGGUCCAGAGAGCACAUCACCACCUUCUGCUAGCUAUGCAAUGCUCUCCAUCCUACAGGACUCACAUCCAGUUUGCCUAUCUUUACCAAGAGCUUGAUGAUUUGAACCACUGACUGAUUGCCCUGUACUUGGAGGAUGUGAGGAAGCAGAAUUGAGCCAAUAAAGAGAAGAGGAAGAAGGAGCCACAGAACUGAGUGGGAUGUCCCCUGAGCACUCCUUGGUGGAGCAAAAGUCUUGCAAGUCUCUAGUGCGCUGGGCAGGCUGAGGGCGUUCAGCCGAGAACACAGCUCUGUAAAUACAUCAGCGAGGAUGCAUAUAUACAGUUUCCCCAGUGCUCCCUCAGACCCUUGGAGGCUGGGCUACUCCAAGCUCUGUUUCCUGCAAAAAAAUGGAGUAAGUCCUGUGGAGUCUAAAUACACAUUCCCUCUGCAUUAUACCCACGCCUCGACUUCAUUAUAUCUAGGAGCACUGAGACAAAGAGAUUUAUAACAAACUUCAUCCAAGCCAAGAAUGAAACACGGCAGCCUCCAUGCAGCAGGAAACCCAUUGAUCUGUUUCUUAUAAGCAUGUGGUUCUAUGCUGUUUUUCUGCCAAAGCUUUUCCCUGCCUCCCACUUGAGGAGCAUACACCAGCUGAUUCUGCAGAUUGACUCUACAUCAUUCUCUGUCAUGAAGCCAUGGCAUGUGUUUAUGCGUCUGUAACAAAGCGUUUAUAUUCUGCCAUCUGCAUAAAAACUGCUGAAGGACAUUUCAGCAAGAAUCCCUAUGGUUUAUGCAGCUGCAUGUUGAACAUGAAAAUCUAAGAUAUGACAGUGGUCUUUCAUUCAUACAACCUUUGAAUUUUGGUAAAGUUCUGAUGUAAUGUUAAAGAGUGGUAUUUUGAGGACUACGCAUCAAGAUAUAAACAUGGCACAUCUUUUAUAAUAUCAGCCACUGGAAGACAUUUGAAAUAAUAUUUGUAUAAUUGUGGGCUGUAUUAUCUUUCUUUCUUGCACAUAAUAAAGUUUCACUGGAAGUAAACUUUUCAAGUAUCAAUUUUAGAAUUCCUGAUUCAUCCUAAGCGGUUUUGUUCUUUUUUUACAGGUGAAAUCAUACUUAAAAGUUGUAUGUAUGCAGCUGGAGAUACGUGCCUUUGAAAUCCUUUCAUAACCAAUAUUCUAAUCUCCUAUUUAAGUAGGGUAAAUAGGCCAUUUAUCCUCAACAUCUGAUACAGCUGUCUACAAUAUUAAAACAUUUAGCAAUACCAUGAAAUUCGGAGAAGAAAUGUAAUGUUUUCUACCCACUCAGGCCAAUAUUUCUAAAGCUAAUGUGGUGGGAAGAUGCGUGGUGUUACCCAAACUAUUCACAAUUAUUUCAGAAAAUUUGGAAACAGAAGAAAAUCAUCCAUAAUUUUGUCACCCCAAUUUAACAAAUCAUAUCUUUAAAUACUGUCUCUUAGUCAUUUGUGCGUAGUUGCAUCCUUGCAGUCACAGAGUAUGGCCUAUACUUUUUCACUUUGUAUUACAAUGCAAGUCUUUUCAUUCUGCUGCAUAUUCUUCAUAAGCUUUAUUAAUGGCUGCCUUAGCAGUUAUUCCAUCCACUAUUCACUAUUUUGAGGUUAAUUUUUUAUUAUAAUUAAUGUAAUGAUGAAUAUCUUCUUACACAUAGACUUUUUAAUUAUUUUUUUUUUAGAAUAAAAUUCCAGGAAUUAAUUAGCUGGCUUAAGUAACACAUACAUUUUAUUGCUUAGAAUACAUUAUAAAACUACUUUCAAAAAUAAUUAUUUCAUCUUGUAAGGGUAUACAAGUACAUUAUCAUUUAAUAUUUUAGUAAAUUAAGUAAAAAUUUAGGUCUUUGUUUUACUUGAUCAUUUCUUUUGAUAACAGCUAGGUUUGACACUGUUUUACAUCUUGUCCACUGUUUGUUAUUCAUAUUGAGUGAAUUUUUUGUUGUUGCUCUGGACUGGUGAUAGUUUCUAAAUGAGGAUCUUAAUUUCAAUGAAGAUAUAAGUAAGAUAUAAAAAAGUGCACAAAAUUAUAUAUCUUUUAAUAAAAACUCUUUGUCAAAAUGGUUUAUUAUAUAAUUUUUACCUUACUGACAUUCUGAAGUUUAAAACCAUAACAAAAUAUAUAGUUAUUCAUUUAAAAAAUCCCUUCUGUGUUAUUUCCAAGUUUAAAAAUUAGUCUUCUUUUUCAGAUAGUUGAUACAUAACUAUCCUGUUUCUGAGUUUACCCAUUUAAAUUUAUGUAUUUAAUGCUUCGCUACAUGUGUUAUUUUAUUUGGUAUAUUUUUGCAUCAAAGUUUAUUUUUUCUAAGUUUUAAAUAUUGGUUAGGCCGAAUUAUCUAAAUGUGGCUUAUUAAAUAAUCCUCAAUUUUUAUAUUCUUUUGCUAUGUCUCCUUUACAGUAUAUAAAAUUCUAAUAUACCUGUUCUAUUCCAAUGACCAAGGUGUAUCUUUUUGUACCAGACAUACCUCAAUUUAAUUAUUACUGAUUUUAAAUAGUUUUGAUACCUGGUAGAACUGAUGAAUCUCAUGCCUUAUAUUUAAAGACAAUUGCUCAUUGCAAACCUUCUCAUCUACUCUCCCCCAAACCCCACUACUCACAAUUUUCCUUAACCCCACCCAGAACAGAGAGUUUAAAUAAAGGCCCACACAGCUCCUGGCAAGACCUCCAUUACCCGCAUCCCCAGCCACAUAAACUCAAUACUGCCCAUUUAUCCUCUACAAUGGCCUAACAUGCAAAGAUAUAGUAUAACCUAUUGUUCCCCUUCCACUCAGAUAGCAUCAAGACAAAUUCCAUCAAGCCUCACAUCCCUCUGUCACCAUGAGAAAGACAGGUUUCCUUAUUGUAGACCUUUAAUUCUGGAAGGCUUUGCACAUCGAUUUGUUAAUUUUCCAAAAGUUCCCCACCCCCUUCACUGUGCUCAGUGGAACACAGUCUGUCACCGCACCCUCUUUCCCUGCCUCCACCAUGCAACUCCUGCUUUCAGAAUGAAAGUUCUCCUCUGACCCUGUCUGUUUUCUCAAGAAAUGAGAUCUGUUGAGAAAUCACCUGCUGAGAGUGAGAAGGCUGAGGGGAUUUUUGAGUUUUGAGAUGAAAGAAUAAUGCAUGAGAUGGUUAACUCAGGAAGUGGAAAGGGACAUUCACAUCACCUUUUUACUCUAAUUAAAAUCUGAUUUUCCAGGAGAGCAUGGCUUCCUCAGCAGCACUACCAAAGCACAGCUAUUCUUUUUCUUCCACAUCCUACCACCUAUAGGGCCAGGAGGUGCUCAGGCUGUUCAUAAUCUUCAUAGCCACUUUUCAAGCUAUUAUCUAUUCUUACUCUUUAAAACCUUUUGUAGCAUAUAUGCCAUGUUGGUUUUUUUUGUUGUUGUGUGUUUUUUGUUUUCGUUUUUUUUUUUUUUUUGAGAUGGAGUCUUGCUCUGUUGCCCAGGCUGGAGUGCAAUGGCGCGAUCUUGCCUCACUGUAAACUCCACCUCCCAGGUGCAAGUGAUUCUCCUGCCUCAGCAUCCUGAGUAGCUGGGACUACAGGCCCACAGGCGCCUGCCACCAUACCUGGCUAAUUUUUGUAUUUUUAGUAGAGACGGGGUUUCACCAUGUUGGUCAGGCUGGUCUCGAACUUCUGACCUCAUGAUCCUCCCACCUCGGCCUCCCAAAGUGCUGGGAUUACAGGUGUGAGCCACCAUGCCCAGCCUACCAUGUGUUCUUUUCUAGCACAUAUGCCAUGAAAAAAGAAGAAUACACCGUGCCUUUUUUUUUUUUUUUUUUUUAACAGAGUAGGUGCCUUGCUAUUUUGCCCAAGCCAGGAUCAAACUUGAGAUCUUCCUGCCUUAGCCUCAGUAGUAGCUGGGGUGAUCUUAUACUACUUUCUACUCCUUCUUGUUAUCAAUAUCUGUGGUGUGUCCUACCCCAAACUUUCCUUCACUGAAGACUUAACAUCUGGCCCAUGGUCUCUCUUUCCUCCACAACUUCUCUUAUCGUUCUUGUGAUUUCAACAUCCACCUAACCCUGCCUCUCAAGUCCCUUGACUAUUUUUCCUUCAAAAGUCUCUUCACCCUUGUUGUUGGCAAUAAUAGUGCUAUUUUGUAAAUCUUAAUUAUAAAUCUGACCACCACCCUUUAGUAUCUUUCUAGAAUACUCAUUCCACUGCAUCUUGGACCUCACCUGGAUUUCCAAUUUACUAAUGGCCAUUUUAAAGGAAUUCAAACUGAUGUCACCUCUUUCCUGUCAUGGUGUCCUUUGUUAUUCAGCACUGAUUUAUGGGCCAUCACUAAAAUUACUCUUUUGCACCUAUUGUCAAUAUUCUUAUCUCCUUCUCCAUUGCCUGGCAGAACCCCAACCCUUAUUAAACCCAACACUUUGGUUAUCCUGGAUCAAUAUCUAGGAGCUUAAUGUGACUAAAGAAAAAUGCACAAUGAUGCUGAAUGAUUUCACUUUGAGUAAAUGACCAUUUUCAUAAGUGUUGUGGUCUUUGGCCUUGCUCAGAAGCCAUACAUUUCUUUAGACAUUUCACACUCUUCAUUUUCUGAGAUUCCUGUUUCAUGCUUUUUUUUCUUCUUAACCUCAAAUACCUCCUCAGUUUUUUUCACUCUCAGCAGAAGACUUGCUUCUUAUUUCACUGAGAAAAUUGGCACGAGCAAAAAAGAACAUCCUUUGACCACCAAGUCUACAACUCAUUGAAACUGUGUUUAUGUACUUAUUGCCUUACAUAUGCUGUACAUAAAUAAAUUGUCUCUGAUCGUGCUGUACAUAAUGAAUUGUCUCUGAUCCCAUCAAAGGCUAGCCCCUAUACUUGUGUACCAAAUUCCUUUCUUCCUCAGACUUAAGGACACUGAUUUCCAACAAUCCCUUCUAUCUUCUGUAUUCAUCAGUUUCCCCCUUUAUGUUUACCAUCAGUGUACUAGCAAAAUACAAGGCACUACUAUCUGGAUUUCUCAAUAAGAAAAACAACAACAACAACAAAACCUCUUGACUUCAUGUCCACCUCAGUUUUCUCUACCCAUUUUAUAGCAAAAUUUUGUACUUGCUAGCUCUACUUCAUCAUACCCAUAAAUUUUGUCUGUAGCAUUAAUUCUGCAACCACAGUUAAUAUGACAUCAAAGAAGGUUUUCUCAGUUCAUGUUUGAAUUCUCUGAUUUGUACUAAAAACGUCUGCCUGGGCGAAGACUUGACUACAUUAAUGUAUCCAUUUUGUUUCCUUCCAGUGUCUUCAAGGUGAAGGCAUCUUCAUAGUCACAAUAUUAUUAUAGAGAAUCUUUCCAGUAUGAAUUUUUGAUGUGUAAAGAAGUUACACAUCUGAUGAAGAUUGUUUUUAAUAUUCAGUACAAACACAGAAGUUUUCUUUAGUAUGAACAUGAGCUUGUGAUCUCUAAAAAGGUUUGAUGAGUACUCAGAAGUCUUCUCAUGUCAGUGCACAUACUAAUAAGGUUUCUGUCAUGUGUGAAUUCAGUGAUGCAAAUGGGGUAUUUAUUUCUUAAUGAAGUAUUUCCAAGAGACUUGAAAGACUACAGGCCAGUUGUUUUAUUGAAUGUUCCCCAACUUGGGUUUGUCAGAUAUUUUCUCAUGCUAAGAUUUAGGCUGUGAUCUUCCAGGUGGGACCUACAUACAUGAAACUGUGUUGUCCUCAGAGUAACACACUCAAAGGUCCAUGAUCUUUAUCUGUCCUUUAGUAACCGUAAAGUUACUAUUUUUCACCUGAUAACUGACAAGAAAUCUGGUGGACACUUUUAAGACCUGCGAAUAUCCUUCUCAGCACAUUCUCCUCUAGAUUUAGCAUCGGUUGAUGAUUUUUGGCUAACUCUUUCUGUAUGAUGGUCUUAAAACAAUUCUUUUCAAUUCUAUAACUCCCUUCUACAUUUAUUCUUUGACAUUCUUCUGUUAGGAAGAGCCCCAUUCCCCUCUCCAAUUGUUUGUCUACCCUAUCUAUCAUCUAUCUAUCUAUCUAUCUAUCUAUCUAUCUAUCUAUCUAUCUAAUCUUCUAUUAUCUAUCUAUCUAUCUAAAAAUCAUUUCACAGGACUCAAUAAUAUACGUCAAAUCUCAUUUUUCUUGAUGGCACUGAAAUCUCUUGCUUUCCUUUUGUUAGUAUUUGACUUUUAUAUCUUUGGCAAGCCUUUUGUUACAGUUUUACUAUAUUAUUUUCUUUCAGAUGUGUAUAUCCCAAACCUGCUUUUAAAAAAAAGGGUUA